rnacentral:rRNA from 1 species
GUGGGGAAUAUUGCACAAUGGGGGAAACCCUGAUGCAGCGACGCCGCGUGGGUGAAGAAGUAUUUCGGUAUGUAAAGCCCUAUCAGCAGGGAAGAAAAUGACGGUACCUGACUAAGAAGCCCCGGCUAACUACGUGCCAGCAGCCGCGGUAAUACGUAGGGGGCAAGCGUUAUCCGGAUUUACUGGGUGUAAAGGGAGCGUAGGUGGCGUGCCAAGUCAGGAGUGAAAACCCAGGGCCCAACUCUGGGACUGCUCUUGAAACUGGCAGGCUUGAGUGCUGGAGAGGUAAGCGGAAUUCCUAGUGUAGCGGUGAAAUGCGUAGAUAUUAGGAGGAACACCAGUGGCGAAGGCGGCUUACUGGACAGUGACUGACACUGAGGCUCGAAAGCGUGGGGAGCAAACAGGAUUAGAAACCCGUGUAGUCC